rnacentral:lncRNA from 1 species
GCUCGUGCCUGUAAUCCCAGCGCUUUGGGAGACAACAAGUGGAUCACUUGAGGUCAGGAGUUCGAGACCAGCCUGGCUAACAUGGUGAAACCCCGUUUCUACUAAAAAUACAAAAAAUUAGCCAGGCGUGGCGGCACACACCUAUAAUCCCAGCUACUCAGGAGGCUGAGGCAGGAGGAUUACUUAAACCCGGGCGGCAGAGAUUGCAAUGAGCCAAGAUUGUGCCACUGCACUCCAGCCUGGGCAAUAGAGCAAGACUCCAUCUCAAAAAAUUAAAGAGGGCUGGGCUCAGUGGCUCACACCUGCAAUCCCAGCACUUUGAGAGGCCAAGGCGGGUGGAUCACGAGGUCAGGAGUUCAAGACCAGCCUGGCCAACAUGGUGAAACCUCAUCUCUACUAAAAAUACAAAAAUUAGCCGGGCGUGGUGGCGCACGCCUGUAAUCUCAGCUACUCUGGAGGCUGAGGCAGGAGAAUCGCUUGAACCAGGACUCGGGAGGCAGAGGCGGAGGUUAUAGUGAGCUGAGAUUGUGCUACUGCACUCCAGCCUGGGCUACAGAGCAAGACUCCAUCUAAAAAAUGGGAAGGGAAGGGAAGGGUAAGGUCGAGGAGGGGAGGGGAGGGGGAAACUGGAGCCACAUCAGAGAGAUGUGGGGGUCUCUAACAUCUAGGGGGAGGGCCGAGGGGAGUGGACAGAAAAGUAUUUUGAAAAGGAGAUUCCAGGAGGUGGAAGGAAAUCUUGGAAAGGGGCAGAGACACCCAGGGAGGAGAGAGUCUGAAGGAGGGAGCGGCCAGCUCCGAGGCCGCUCAGGUUCAAUGAGCAUGGAAGCAUCCACUGCCUUGGCCACGCAUAGAUCCCUGGUGACCGGGGGAUGGAGGGGCCUUGGCAAAAUGGGAGGGAUGAUGGAUGAGCUGAGGUCCUGGAAGCAGUGGAGAGAUGCGAUCCAGAGCCCAGGAAGAAAGACACCCUGUCCCUGGCAGCCUGAAGGAGAGGCCGUGAGGGCAGAGGCCGAUGGAACUGCUCAGAGGGAAGGGGCUGGCUCACGCUGCACGGCCACCAGGCCUCCAGGGAUGUGGGUCCAAGGUCGUUUGCUAAGAACUAGGGGCCUGGUGGCAGCAGGGAGGGGAGGUGACCAGGCACAGACAGGCCAAUGGCCCAAGGCCUCUGCUGAGGCUGGAGACCACAGAUGUGGGGUGUUGUUGGCCUGUGGGGUGUUGCUGUCGGCCUGUGAGGUGUUAUCGGCCUGUGGGGUGUUAUCGGCCUGCGGGUUGUUAUCAGCCUGUGGGGUGUUGUUGUCGGCCUGUGAGUUGUUAUCGGCCUGUGGGGUGAUGUUAUCAGCCUGUGGGGUGUUUUUAUCAGCCUGUGGGGUGUUAUCGGCCUGUGGGGUGUUGUUGGCCUGUGGGUGUUGUCAGCCUGUGGGGUGUUGUCAGCCUGUGGGGUGUUAUCGGCCUGUGGGGUGUUAUUGGCCUGUGGGGUGUUGUUUUCGGCCUGUGGGGUGUUAUCGGCCUGUGGGGUGUUGUUAUUGGCCUGAGGGGUGUUAUCAGCCUGUGGGGUGUUGUUGGCCUGUGGGUGUUGUUUUCGGCCUGCGGGUGUUGUUUUCGGCCUGUGGGGUGUUAUCAGCCUGUGGGGUGUUAUUGGCCUGUCAGGUGUUAUCAGCCCGUGGGGUGUUGUCGGCCUGUGGGGUGUUGUUGUCGGCCUGUGGGGUGUUGUUGUCGGCCUGUGGAGUGUUGUUAUUGGCCAGCCGGGUGUGAUUUGCUCCAGCUGUAGGUGUAGGUUCCCAGACAUGCAUAUCAGGUCAACCCAAGUCUGAGGAUGGCAGAGUUGCUGUGAGAGCAGGGCCAGGUGGUGAGGAGGAUGCUGGUGAGGUGGCUGAGAUGACACAUCGAAGGGUUGGGCUGUGCUGGGAGGGAGCGAGGCCAGGAAGAUGGUGAUAGACUUGGAAGAGAAAAGGGGCCAUGGGCUGAGAGAAGACAAAGGGCAUGAGAGGGUGAGAGGGAAGUUGGGAGUUGAGUUUCAAAGGAGGAAUCAGGUCAGGGGAUGGCAAAGGGGUGGAGUGUAGUUGUGGAAAUGAAUUUCUAAAGGGAAAAAUCAGUAGCCAGGGAGGAGAGAGUUGAGGGAGCCCAGUGUUGAGGGCUAAUAUUACUAAUACUCACUGAGUACCUACUAAAUGUUAGGUACAGUUCCAAAUUCUUUUUGUUGUUAUUGUUGUUUUUGUUUUUUUUUGUUUUCUUUUUUUGAGACAGAGUCUCGCUCUGUC